AAAAUUCUGAAGCUGCAAAGUUUUCUUGAGUGUCUGGAACGCCUGAAGCUGAAAGAUGGUCUUGAUUGUCUGAAAAAUAUACCCUCAGCUUUCCACAUCAUCUACCACUGUCUGCAUUGAAUAACACUAGACCUAGGCCUGACCUGAUACUACUUUCCUUUUUUAGGGCAAAGAGCCUGAAAGAAUUGAUUCUGUGUUGUGAAUGACUAACAAUACGAUACUGACAGUAUUUUCUGAGUGUCUUGAGAGCAUCAUCACCAGGACUGUGGCUCUGCCUGCCUUUCACAUCUGUUACCUCCUGAAGCUAUGGAACAGAGCAUAUGCAGUUUAAUUGAGAAUUCAUGAGCAUCAGUGGAGAGCACCUGAGAAGAGCACAACCAGCUACAGGCAAGUCUGCACCUUUAUUUUCCUCCCUCUUAUGUAAAAACAAUCAGGCAUAAGUGCAGCAAGGACAGCCAGAAGUUUAAAUGUGGUUAAUAAACAUUCCAUCAUAAAAGAGGGAGAAAGAAAG
rnacentral:lncRNA from 1 species